CACGUAGGGUGCGAGCGUUGUCCGGAAUUAUUGGGCGUAAAGAGCUCGUAGGCGGUGUGUCGCGUCGGCCGUGAAAACCUGCAGCUUAACUGUGGGCUUGCGGUCGAUACGGGCAUCACUGGAGUUCGGCAGGGGAGACUGGAAUUCCUGGUGUAGCGGUGAAAUGCGUAGAGAUCCGGAGGAACGCCUGUGGCGCAAGCGGCCACCUGGGCCUGUCCUGACGCUGAGGUGCGAAAGCGUGGGGAGCGAACCGG
rnacentral:rRNA from 1 species